rnacentral:rRNA from 1 species
GGCUCUUUGUUUUAGUUUAUAUAGAGAGUCGGGCCUGCCCAGUGAGAUAAAUUCUUUAACGGCCGCGGUACUCUGACCGUGCAAAGGUAGCAUAAUCAUUUGCCCUAUAAUUGGGGGCUAGUAUGAAUGGUUUGACAAGAGCAAAACUGUCUCUAUACGAUUUUAUAAAAUUUAAUCUUUAGCUGAAGAAGCCUGAAUUUGAUUAAAAGACAAGAAGACCCUAUCGAGCUUUAAAGACAUUGUGGGAUGUUUAGCAAUAUAUUUUAUAAAUUUUUAUCCUAUAAAAAUUUUGGUUGGGGCGACUAAGGAACAGUUAAAGCUUCUUAAAUUAGAAAAUAUUGACAUAUAAUGAUCCAGAAGUUCUGAUUAAAGGAAUUAGUUACCGUAGGGAUAACAGCAUAAUCUUUUUUGAGAGUUCUUAUCGAAAAAAAGGCUUGUGACCUCGAUGUUGGACCAGAAUAUCCUAAAGAUGCAACCU